rnacentral:rRNA from 1 species
UACGAAGGGGGCAAGCGUUAUUCGGAUUUACUGGGCGUAAAGCGCGUGCAGGCGGUUCAGCAAGUUGGAUGUGAAAGCUCCCGGCUUAACUGGGAGAGGUCGUUCAAAACUACUGGACUAGAGAGUGGUAGAGGGAGGUGGAAUUCCGGGUGUAGUGGUGAAAUGCGUAGAUAUCCGGAGGAACACCAGUGGCGAAAGCGGCCUCCUGGACCAUUUCUGACGCUCAGACGCGAAAGCUAGGGUAGCAAACGGGAUUAGAUACCCCGGUAGUCC